CAUGUCUAGUUGGUGGCAAUGACCAAAAGAAAGGGACAGACAACAGCCACGAAGGCUCCCCAGCAGAGGUCACUGCGGACCAGGAAGCGCAAGGCUGCGGAGGACGAUGAGCAGAGAGAUGACCUGCCGGUAACGGACACAACCAAACAGGAUUCUGAUAACAUAAACUCCACCUCCCAGAAUGCCUCAGUCUCAGAGACUACUCCACAGGAAUGCUCUCCAGACAGCAUAGUGAAUGCUGACUCAUCUGCAGCUGAAGCAAACAAAUUGGGAGAUGCGAUUACUCAUGAUGUUGGUGUUUCCUCUGGACUGGAACCCGAAGAGAAAGUCACGUCAGACGCACAAACACCCAAACCUGCCCUCUCCGAGGGUUCUGAUGCCCUGU